rnacentral:rRNA from 1 species
UACGAAGGGGGCUAGCGUUGCUCGGAAUCACUGGGCGUAAAGCGCACGUAGGCGGACUCUUAAGUCGGUGGUGAAAUCCUGGAGCUCAACUCCAGAACUGCCUUCGAUACUGAGAGUCUCGAGUCCGAGAGAGGUGAGUGGAACUGCGAGUGUAGAGGUGAAAUUCGUAGAUAUUCGCAAGAACACCAGUGGCGAAGGCGGCUCACUGGCUCGGUACUGACGCUGAGGUGCGAAGCGUGGGGAGCAAACAGG